ensembl:lncRNA
GUGCUUUCAGGCUGCUGGCUCUGAGAGCUGCUGGGGUGCUGGGUGGUGAAGGUGGGGUGGGGGAACUGCCUGGAAACUGCCAGGGUAAGGGAGUCAGAGAAGGCGAGGUUCGGAAAAAGAACAGGACUGGCACUUUACAGGAACAUCUGUAACACCUUUAAUGAGUAGAGAAGGGGCAGCAGUCAGAUUAGUGAGCUGCUGCACUAACCCAAGAAAAGAAAAGAAGUUGCCUCACAAGAAUGAAAGGACAACUUCAAACAUGCUGGCAGAAACGCAUCAAACGUCAGCCAUGAAGCAACCCUCCAGGUCAUGCCAGCAGCCAACCUGUCGCGGGCUGUGGAAACCAAUGACCAAAGAAAGAAGGAAGCACACCUGAGCCAGCUUGCUCUCGAGCUGCAAUAUGCAAAUGAAGGCACAGGAUCAUUCUGUAGAUCCAGAUCCUUCUGAGGUGGCUUCGUUAAUCAAAGAGAAUGAACUUGCCAGAGACAAGAGAACAGUGCUGCAGCCAAGCAAAGAACAGUAGCUGUGCUUCUAAACUAGACUCUCCAAAGAGCCCAUGAACAUUUUCUAGACCAGCAUCCCAUCUCAUUCAGCCCUUCCUCCCUCUCAGAGUUUCCAGAUGUUUUACCAUCCUGAGGUCCAGCAUUAGCCAAUGGUCUUAAAAGGGACGCCUAGCAAAGAAAGGAAUAUGGGAGGUAUGGUCUGGUAGGGUGCCCUUUUCUGGGCAGUGUACUUCUGGAUGGUUGGAUGUUGAGACACUCACCUAUCUCCUAACUAUACUUUAACAUUUCCUGAACAUCUUUUGAAAAUCAUUAUUUUCAUGAUGUACAUUAUGUAAAAUAGUACAACCACUUUGGAAAACAAUUUGGCAUAGUAAAGCUGACCCAGCAAUUCCAUUUUCAGGUAUAUUCUCUAUAGAAUCUCUUGCAAAUACACAUGUAAAACAAUGUACAUAGUAAC